rnacentral:rRNA from 1 species
UACGUAGGGUGCGAGCGUUGUCCGGAAUUAUUGGGCGUAAAGGGCUCGUAGGCGGUCUGUUACGUCGGGAGUGAAAACUCGGGGCUCAACCCCGAGCCUGCUUCCGAUACGGGCAGACUAGAGGUAUGCAGGGGAGAAUGGAAUUCCUGGUGUAGCGGUGAAAUGCGCAGAUAUCAGGAGGAACACCGGUGGCGAAGGCGGUUCUCUGGGCAUUACCUGACGCUGAGGAGCGAAGGUGUGGGGAGCGAACAGG